rnacentral:rRNA from 1 species
UACGAGUACCCCAAGCGUUAUCCGGAAUCAUUGGGCGUAAAGGGUGUGUAGGUGGUCUACUUAGUCUUCUGUCAAAACCUCUGGCUCAACCAGAGACUCGCAGCGGAUACGGGUAGACUCGAGGGUGCGAGGGGUGAAUGGAACUCAUGGAGUAGGGGUGAAAUCCGUUGAUAUCAUGGGGAACACCAAAAGCGAAGGCAAUUCACUGGCGCACAUCUGACACUGAAACACGAAAGCGUGGGUAGCGAACGGG